rnacentral:rRNA from 1 species
AUGCAAGAUAUCUGCUUUGGAAGCCAAGAAGCUCUGUUCAUGCAGCCAAACUUUUCUUAUGUGGCGCUGUUGAAGGGAUAUAUUGACCUAAAUGCUGGCUCUCAUACAAUCAAUACCCAGGGGCAGGAGUCGUGCUUGUGUGCUGCUGACAUUGGUCAAACAAGUGAUGCGGGUGUACCUCUGCUACAUUUACAACAAAAAAAGGCGGCUCGGGUCUUGGGUGGCAACAACAUGUCCAACGGCACACCAAGCCUUCAGGAUUUAGGCAUGAUGGGUGACUUUGUUGACGACCAGGACAAUUCUCCUGUGCAAAUGGAGGAUCUAGAUGCACAAACAACAUAUUUUCAAUUAUUCAAGGGAGAGGAUGAUAUAUCGUUUGAUGACUGUCAAGGAGAUCCAUGGAGGCCAACCCUCUUUGAUGAUAUUAGCUUGGAUCAGGUUGAUACAAACAAUGAAGGAAGAGACGGGUCUUCUGAGUGGGAGCAAAAUCAUACCUGGAAUCUUGAUUCGCCGACAUGUGUGCAAGCUGGUUCCUCCAGACAGUCUCGAGAGGCGGGAACAUCAACUGAUGCAUGCCAUCUGCAAGUGCAAGACAAGGAGAAUGAAGAUAAUGAAAUCAAUGAAGAAACAAUAGAAGAUUUUUUGGAAAAUGAAAGACGGGCCGCAGAAGGAGGGAACGAUAGAACAAUUGGUAGUGAGCUGAAACCUGAAACAGGGAUGCAUUUUGCUACGAGGGAAGAAGCUCAAAAGUUCUUAAACUUCUAUGCCUUUGUUGCUGGUUUCUCCAUAUCUGUUGUGUCGACUGCCCGCACAACCAGCAAAAAAAGGGACAGAUAA